CUACGUGCCAGCAGCCGCGGUAAUACGGAGGGUGCGAGCGUUAAUCGGAAUAACUGGGCGUAAAGGGCACGCAGGCGGUGACUUAAGUGAGGUGUGAAAGCCCCGGGCUUAACCUGGGAAUUGCAUUUCAUACUGGGUCGCUAGAGUACUUUAGGGAGGGGUAGAAUUCCACGUGUAGCGGUGAAAUGCGUAGAGAUGUGGAGGAAUACCGAAGGCGAAGGCAGCCCCUUGGGAAUGUACUGACGCUCAUGUGCGAAAGCGUGGGGAGCAAACAGGAUUAGAUACCCUGGUAGUCCACGCUGUAAACGAUGUCGAUUUGGGGGUUGAGCUUUAAGCUUGGCGCCCGUAGCUAACGUGAUAAAUCGACCGCCUGGGGAGUACGGCCGCAAGGUUAAAACUCAAAUGAAUUGACGGGGGCCCGCACAAGCGGUGGAGCAUGUGGUUUAAUUCGAUGCAACGCGAAGAACCUUACCUACUCUUGACAUCCAGAGAACAUUC
rnacentral:rRNA from 1 species